CGUACACUCCUGCGGGAGGCAGCAGUGGGGAAUAUUGCACAAUGGGCGCAAGCCUGAUGCAGCCAUGCCGCGUGUAUGAAGAAGGCCUUCGGGUUGUAAAGUACUUUCAGCGGGGAGGAAGGCGAUAAGGUUAAUAACCUUGUCGAUUGACGUUACCCGCAGAAGAAGCACCGGCUAACUCCGUGCCAGCAGCCGCGGUAAUACGGAGGGUGCAAGCGUUAAUCGGAAUUACUGGGCGUAAAGCGCACGCAGGCGGUCUGUCAAGUCGGAUGUGAAAUCCCCGGGCUCAACCUGGGAACUGCAUUCGAAACUGGCAGGCUAGAGUCUUGUAGAGGGGGGUAGAAUUCCGGGUGUAGCGGUGAAAUGCGUAGAGAUCUGGAGGAAUACCGGUGGCGAAGGCGGCCCCCUGGACAAAGACUGACGCUCAGGUGCGAAAGCGUGGGGAGCAAACAGGAUUAGAUACCCUAGUAGUCCCAUG
rnacentral:rRNA from 1 species